AUUGAACGCUGGCGGCAUGCCUUACACAUGCAAGUCGAACGGCAGCACGGACUUCGGUCUGGUGGCGAGUGGCGAACGGGUGAGUAAUGUAUCGGAACGUACCUUUCAGUGGGGGAUAACGUAGCGAAAGUUACGCUAAUACCGCAUAUUCUGUGAGCAGGAAAGCAGGGGAUCGCAAGACCUUGCGCUGAUUGAGCGGCCGAUAUCAGAUUAGCUAGUUGGUGGGGUAAAGGCCUACCAAGGCUACGAUCUGUAGCGGGUCUGAGAGGAUGAUCCGCCACACUGGAACUGAGACACGGUCCAGACUCCUACGGGAGGCAGCAGUGGGGAAUUUUGGACAAUGGGGGCAACCCUGAUCCAGCCAUGCCGCGUGAGUGAAGAAGGCCUUCGGGUUGUAAAGCUCUUUCGGCCGGGAAGAAAUCGCAUCAGCUAAUACCUGGUGUGGAUGACGGUACCGGAAUAAGAAGCACCGGCUAACUACGUGCCRGCAGCCGCGGUAAUACGUAGGGUGCGAGCGUUAAU
rnacentral:rRNA from 1 species